rnacentral:rRNA from 1 species
CCUACGGGCGGCAGCAGUGGGGAAUAUUGGGCAAUGGGCGCAAGCCUGACCCAGCAACGCCGCGUGAAGGAAGAAGGCUUUCGGGUUGUAAACUUCUUUUCUCAGGGACGAAGCAAGUGACGGUACCUGAGGAAUCAGCCACGGCUAACUACGUGCCAGCAGCCGCGGUAAUACGUAGGUGGCAAGUGUUAUCCGGAUUUACUGGGUGUAAAGGGCGUGUAGGCGGGAAAGUAAGUCAGAUGUGAAAACCAUGGGCUCAACCUGUGGCCUGCAUUUGAAACUGUUUUUCUUGAGUACUGGAGAGGCAGACGGAAUUCCUAGUGUAGCGGUGAAAUGCGUAGAGAUGAGGAGGAAGACCAGUGGCGAAGGCGGUCUGCUGGACAGCAACUGACGCUGAGGCGCGAAAGCGUGGGGAGCAAACAGGAUUAGAUACCCGGGUAGUC